AUAAUGAAAAAAUUUUAUAAAGUUUCGAGAAGAAAGAUUCUGCGAGAUUAUUUCGAUACGAUGAUUAUUAUCGAUUGAUCGAAGUUUUAGAAUCGAACGAUUCGAUAGGGUAUCGAAUGGGAGGAUUUGGCGAAGUUUUUUAGUCGCAUUCUUUUCGGGUAAGAAUAAAAGUGGAAGAUGGUGGUGAGGCAAGGUUGGGAUUUGGAGGUGUGCACGGUUAGUGAGGAAUUUUUGGGGAGUGGUUAUAGGUGUGGUGAAUAGGUUUCAGCGGGAAGUGUUGUUUAGGUGAGCAGAAUUUUUAGAUGAGAUUACUUGUCAUAAUUGAUAAAGGUAUCCAUAUUGGAAGUUUGAAGAAUCGUGACAGAUUUUCUACGCUUAAUAUCUACAUAAAUAGAAGAAAUAUAGAACAUAUGUCGAGCUGAUAAAACGCAAAACAGUUGUUUUCACGGAAUUCACGGAAGCCAAACGAACUUUUUAAGAUAAACGAUCACUUAAGAUAAACGAAAAUAAACGAAAAGAUAUACAUGUUUGAAAAUCUACAAAUACAAUCUAAAAACACAAAAACUUUCAAAAGCAAUCUCUUCCAUACUAAGAUACUCACUUCUACAUAAACAGAGGAUGUUCAUGCGUGCAAUUGCAAUGAAGGAAGAAGUAAACGAGCAGCCAAAGACGACGACGACGACGAUGACGACGAAGAAGAAGAGGAGGAAGAUGAAGAAGAAGAAGAAGAAGAAGAAGAAGAAGAAGAAGAAGAAGAAGAAGAAGAAGAAGGCAUGAAAGAAAGGCCCGGGCCUGUUCGGGUGUUCGCAGGCCCGAUCCUCAGUGUCUUGGGACCCACCACGCCAUAGGAUGCCUCCUUCUCCAUCGGUCGGCGGCUCAGCAUCCUUUAAUAUCUCUCGGUGGCCUCCUCUCGUCCAGCGUUUCCUCUUUGUCGCUCGUGUUCCUGUUCAGAGCCUCCCCUCCCGCCGGACAGACCCUCGCGGUCGGCCACUUUCGAUAGCAUCUUGAUGGAAUGCCUGCGGGCAAAGGAUUAAUUCGUUAUAUAUGGAGAAUUGGAGGAAGAAUCGGAGGUGCAGCAGUGGAAAGGAGAGGAAGAGGAAUUUCGGCAAGGAAGAGGGGGAGGGAAGAAAAAGAGUCUGGCACCGGUAGGUGGUCCCAGGCGUCACGAGGUUUCGAAAAACCUAAAUAUUAUUAGAAUGGUUACAAGUAGCUGGAACAAGUGCGGAAAGAUUUCGACUUGUCGCAGGGAUUCUCGGAAGAGCCGAAAAAGGCAAAAGUGUCUCUGUUUUCCCCGGGGAUUCUAUAAAUCCUGCCCUCUUCCCCCUUCCUCUUCCCUCCCUCCCUUUUCUCGAGUGUCCUUCGCCGGGGCGGAGGACACUGUUUUUUCGAACAGUGUCGAAGGGGAAGGGAAAAAGAGAUUUCCCGUGGGAGAAAAUUUUUGGAGGCCGACCAAUUGGACCCGAUAAUCGUUCUCAGAAUUACGCAUUCUGUUUUCUAUAACGCCAUUGCUUGACGCCGAGUGCGGGGAGGAAGGGAGAGGAGAGGAAGGAAAUUUUUAAACCUCACAAUUCCGUCUUUUUUCAAGUACAAAUAAAUAUAUAUAUAUAUAUAUAUAUAUAUAUAUAUAUAUAUAUAUAUAUAUAUAUAGAGGAUUAAAAUCGAAACUUGUGAAAAGUUAUUAUCGUUGGAGAGCACGAGAGAUUUUAAGCAAUUCAAAUUAAAGUAAAGAAAUGUAUAUUUUAUUUUGAACGAAUUGACAUCGAAGAAUGAUAAGGGUGUCGUAUAUUUUGCAUGUACGAAGGAAAAGAAAGCGUGACGUCAGAGAUAUGAAUCAGUUGUAUCACUUGAAACGUUUGCGUUUCAGGUGAACGAGUGAUCCUUUAAUUGAAUAUUGAGAUAAAGAUUCGCAAGCUGUGGGAGCGGCGCAUCCGGUCCAAUCAUCUUGGUCAUUAUAUGCAGAUCGUAGCUGAGCAUAAAAAUUCAUAUACCACUCACGCGGAUACCUUUGUUCGCCAAAUCAAACGGCAGAAAAUUCGAAAGAAUUUUAACCGUCUUUCGAUUCGAGAAAGAUAAAAAGAUAAAGAAAAUUUGGUUAAAGAAAAGGAAAAUAAGAGAAUGGAGAGAGUUUUUUUUCUUUAUUCCAUUAAAUUUUGAAACGAUUCAUUUCAAAGAAGAUUCCGAUUUUUCGUCGGGAUUAUUAUAAAUUUUUAUCUCAGGAAAGAAGACACUUGCUCUUUCUUACACGCACGAACCAUAAAGAAGAUAAACUUCUUUCCACUCCAUUAAGAUAAAUCAUUAGAUUUCCGAGAAACUAAGCAAUAAAACGUGUUCAAAAACGUUUCAAUAAUCCCGAACAACGUUUCUCGUAAUUCCGUUAUCGCUUUUUCGCGAAUUGAAGCGAAACGAAGAUUGCCAAAUUUUCGAUAAAAUCGAAAAAGUAUAAAAAUCCAUCCAGCGAAUUUUCAACAACACGAUAACCGUUCGUGGCCCUUUUGUUCUUCGAGUGGCUUGAUAAAGAGAGAAAAGAGAAAAAAGAAAAAGCGAGAUGUUCCCGUGACACGAUCACAAAAUCCGUGUCUUCAAACAGAUAAAAGGCCGGAAGAGGAGAGAGAGGAGAGUUCAAUGGCUGAUCGCCCCGAAGGACUCUCCCACGGUUCGCCAAGGAAUUCCUAUCUGCUCGCCCCACUCGGCCACGAUUUUUCUAUUGCCGUUUUGUGUAAGUAGGUCAUGGCACUCGUAUAAGGCAAUUUUUAUUACCUGACACGACCCCGCCAACUUUCCGCCAGUUUCGAGCGUGCAAGUUUUGCCAUGGAAGCCACGAGAAACCACGUGGGAAACGAUACUCACAACCCUCUCAAAUUUUCACAAAGAUGCGCCGUAUCUGAUGGAUCACAAAGUGUAAAAAUGGAGAAAGAAAUACGCUUUGAUUGAACGAGUUUCAGCGAACAAAAGAAGGAGAG
rnacentral:lncRNA from 11 species